UACGUAGGGUGCAAGCGUUGUCCGGAAUUAUUGGGCGUAAAGAGCUCGUAGGCGGUCUGUCGCGUCGGCUGUGAAAACCCGGGGCUCAACCCCGGGCCUGCAGUCGAUACGGGCAGACUAGAGUGCGGUAGGGGAGACUGGAAUUCCUGGUGUAGCGGUGAAAUGCGCAGAUAUCAGGAGGAACACCGAUGGCGAAGGCAGGUCUCUGGGCCACUACUGACGCUGAGGCGCGAAAGCUAGGGGAGCAAACAGG
rnacentral:rRNA from 1 species